AUAAAAUUAAUUAGUACUUAAAUUUAGUUUCUCAUAGACUUCUUGGAUCAUAGAUCAAAUCUUGUUUAUCCUCAGAAUUGAACCUAAACCUCAUGUCUAGUGCAAGCUAGACAUAGUUAACUGUUCAAUCUCAUAUGACCCAUAACUUAAUUCUUAAUUAAGUUAAUCUAUUUAUUCAAUCAAGUCAUGUACUUCUAAAUUAAACUUAUAAAUUUAGGUCAAUACUUUUUUACAUUGCUUGACUUUGUAUGUG
rnacentral:lncRNA from 1 species